CCUACGGGAGGCAGCAGUGGGGGAUAUUGCACAAUGGGGGAAACCCUGAUGCAGCGACGCCGCGUGGGUGAAGAAGUAUUUCGGUAUGUAAAGCCCUAUCAGCAGGGAAGAAAGAAGACGGUACCUGACUAAGAAGCCCCGGCUAACUACGUGCCAGCAGCCGCAGUAAUACGUAGGGGGCGAGCGUUAUCCGGAUUCACUGGGUGUAAAGGGAGCGUAGACGGCCGUGCAAGCCAGGAGUGAAAGCCCGGGGCCCAACCCCGGGACUGCUCUUGGAACUGUGCGGCUGGAGUGCGGGAGGGGCAGGCGGAAUUCCUGGUGUAGCGGUGAAAUGCGUAGAUAUCAGGAGGAACACCGGCGGCGAAGGCGGCCUGCUGGACCGCGACUGACGUUGAGGCUCGAAAGCGUGGGGAGCGAACAGGAUUAGAUACCCCAGUAGUC
rnacentral:rRNA from 1 species